ACUAGAUCAAGUGCCUGCCCAGCUCUCUAAAAGGCUCCCAGAGGGCAUUCCGACACCCCUGUCUGUUGUUGGCGGGGGGGACUGUUCCCUAUCCACAAAAGGAGAAAGCCAGGCCAGAGAGGGCCAUCCUGUGCAGAGCCGCCAGCUUCCCAGGGUGGUGCAGGCUUCCUGCCUUUGCUGGGCUGCUGCCUCUGCUGGGAAGGGAAUAGUCUUCCUCAUGGGGAUCCGGCUCCGUGUUCAGGGCGUCACUUCCUCAGGGACCCUUCCGGCCUGGGAGGGCAGGUCCGCACCCCAGGGCUUCCUCUUGUUUAGCGUGCGUGCCUCUCACUCCCACGGCUCUCCCGGCCCAGCGAGUAGUGGCGGUGCUUCCCCGGGGGACUCUCCCAACCCCUGGGGGUCCAGCCACCUGCAGCAGGUGUGUGGCCGCUCCCCCAGCUGCCGUGUUUGCAGGAUGCCCGCGUGGAUGACCGGCAUCCUCUCUUGAACUUCAGCUCUGCGAGGACGGGCAUCUUUGCCUGUUCCCUUCACCAGUGGGUCCCGGUCGCCUGGCACAUACAAGUACUUAUGGAGCCCACUGUAUGCAGGGCCGGCAGCACAGGUUCCUGCCCUCAGGGCGCAGACCCUCUGGUCAAGAGCAAUUGUGACGUCAACUGGUAAAGGGGAGGAAAGAUGAAGCCAGAGACGGGCUGCCGGGAGGAGGGGUCAGCCGACCAGGCAGGGGUAGGCCCGGGGCUCCCAGCCCCACCCCGCUCUCCCCCCGGCUGCCAGAUGCUGGGCUGUCGUAACUGCGGGCAGCUCGGGUUGCCAAACACCACCACAGCUGCGUCACUGAGAGCCUGGGGGGCCCAGAGGCUGGGGGGUGGGGGCAGCCCCCUUACCCAGGCUGGUUUCGGCCCCCAGGUCAGCCAGGGCUGGGUCAAAGUUCAGCCCGGCAUCCACGCUUAGUCACUCUCCGCAGUGGGGCUGCCUGGCUACUUGCUGCUGUGGUUUGUUUUCAGCUUUUGCACCAGGAGAUCAGGAAUCCGCAUCUCUGCCUCCAAGAGAGAAAUGAAGCACGCCGGGGCCGGGAGACCUCAGGGCCUCCCCCACGCCCUCCCUCCAAAGGGGCCUUCAUCCUGAGCUUGGCCUUCAGGACCCUGUGUGUGACGUCACAGUGUGACCUUGCCGACCUCUGUGUGUCCCUGGGCAGGUCACUUAACCUCUCUGUAAGGUGGGGGUGAUAAGAGUCCCUGCCUUGGAGGCCUGGUGGGAAUAAAUGAGCUAUCUAUCUGUGUGAGGCUCCCAUGAGGGCCUGGCACACAGUAGGCGCCAAGUAAGCGCCGGCUGUGGUCCUUACUGUCCCUGAGCCUCCAGAAGAGGGGACAGAGCGCCGUUGCUGGUGUGAGGGUCACUCGGGGUGAGGCCAGCGGCCACGUCAGCGGCUGACUGUGGUGUGGUGGCGCUCAGGUGUUCUGGUUCAUUCUGUUCCCCUUCCUGUUGGGUUCGCCCUUCCCACCAGCUCUGAAAACCCGGAGUCACCCUGCCCCCAGCCCCAGGCCUGGAGACUGAAGGAUGGGUCUGUGGAGCGAAUGAAGGGGGCUCAGUUUCCUCAGCUGUACAGUGGGUCUUGCAGGCCCAAGGAAUGAGCAAGUGCCUGAGGACAGUGGGCGCUUUGGGAACCCGUCUGUAUUUCCUCCCUUCCCAGCUGUGCUCCUCUCCCCCUCCCCUGGGUGGGGGGCGGCCCGGACCCCACCCACCCCAGAACAGGCGUUCUGCCCACAGAUCUGGGCUCCCCACGGACUCAUUCGUUCAUUCAUACCUUCACCCUGUCAGUAAUUUUUUUUUAAAUUUUUUGGCCGCACUCCAUAGGAUGUGGGAUUUUAACUCCCCGACCAGGAGCUCCCCUGCAUGGGAAACACCGAGUCUCAGCUACUCGACCACCAGGGAAGUCCCUCAACAACUUUUUUGAGCACCUACUAAACUCCAGUCUGCAGGGAUAUGGAAACGAAGAAAACAGGCAAAAAUCUCUGUAGAUAUUCUGUUAGUAGAGACAGCCAUCAGAGAUAGUGUGAGUCAAGCUAAGAUUCUCAGGGGCCCAGGUUGUUGGGGGUGGGUGGACAGGGGAGGCCCUGCCUGCCUCAGUCUGGGCACUUGGGGAAGGCUGUGCGUUCAGACCAGAGGAUGUAGCCAGGUGAAGAGUGGGUGGGGGUGUCCUAGGCGCCAGGGCUGGCCCCUGCAGCAGGUGGGGGAGUGGGCGGGGCAGUUGGGGGACCCACCUCUGGCUUGGCCUGGAUGGGGGCAGGGAGAGAGAGGGCAGGGGGGAGCUGGAAAAGGCCUGACCCAACUUAGGUUUUACCGUUGCUCCAGCCACUGCGUGGAGCCGGGACUGGGGGACCACGGUGGCUGGAGGCAGGCAGACGGGAGGGGAGCCUGGAGUCCUGUCCACCCAUCAGAGAACAGGAGGGAGGUCAAGUAACCCCGGAGAUAGGCUCAGGAUGUGGCAGCUGUGGAUUUCUCCCUUCUUCUGGGGAACUGGAUCAGGCAUCAGCAUCACCUCCAGCAUCACCUCCAACAUCAUCCUCCAGCAUCACCUCCAGCAUCACCACCAUCACCUCCAGCAUCACCACCAUCACCUCCAGCAUCACCUCCAGCAUCACCUCCAACAUCAUCCUCCAACAUCACCUCCAGCAUCACCUCCAAAUUCAUCCUCCAGCAUCACCUCCAGCAUCACCACCAUCACCUCCAGCAUCACCACCAGCAUCAUCACCAUCACCUCCAACAUCACCACCAAGACAACACUUGGGCAGUGGCUGUCGGCCAUUGCACUGCUCACUCCUGUCUGGCCAGGCACUUCCGAGAUGGGACCUCCUUGCAGUUCCACAUGGCGUGACGUCCCAGGAGGGUGUUCAUAGCACAUUUAGCACCAGCCCAAGAUUGAAAUCAGAGAAGGCAACGGCACCCAACUCCAGUACUCUUGCUUGAAAAAUCCCAUGGAUGGAGGAGCCUGGUAGGCUGCAGUUCAUGGGGUCGCUGAGGGUUGGACACGACUGAGCGACUUCACUUUCACGCAUUGGAGAAGGAAAUGGCAACCCACUCCAGUGUGGAGAUUCCCAGGGACAGGGGAGCCUGGUGGGCUGCCAUCUAUGGGGUCACACAGAAUCGGACACGACUGAAGUGACUUAGCAGCAGCAGCAGCAAGAUGGAGAUAAGCCCAGUGGUACAUCACCUGUCACCCGUCAAGACCACCAGAUCCAUCCAGAAAGCAGAGGGAGGGGCCGGAUGGUGAAGGAUUUUGGAGCACAGACCUGGGAGCCCGCCUGCCUGAGUCUGAGUCCUACCUCUGCCAAGCACAGCUGUGUGCCACUGGGGAGGCGCCUUGACACUCCAGGCCUCAGUUUCCCCAUCUACAAAAUGGAGAUUAGAACCUCCUGAUAGGAUCGCUUCACCUUUCUGAUGCAUUCAUUAAUCCAUGUAAAGCAUCUGGAACCAUGCCCAGCACACAGUAAAUCCUUUGGAAACCUUUGCUGCCGUUAUUAUUAUUGUGAACAUUAUGGUUAUUAUUCCUCGGCAAAGUGAAAGUCACUCAGUCGUGUCCAACUCUUUGCGACCCCAUGGACUGUAGCCCGCCAGGCUCCUCUGUCCAUGGAAUUCUCCAGGCAAUAAUACUGGAGUGGGUUGCCAUGCCCUCCUUCAGGGGAUCUUCCUGACCCAGGGGUUGAACCCAGGUCUCCCGCAUUGCAGACAGAUUCUUUGCUGUCUAGUGGUGGAAAUAUGGGUUCAUCCUAGGGAGAAAAGGCAGGCCCAAAUGUAAAGCGGGCUGCCAGUUGGAGGAAAAGGCAAGAAGACCAACUCGAUUGUGUGCGUAGCUGCUCGCAGCCUCUCAGGAGAUCUGAGACACUGCAAACACUGGAUUUGGUGCAGGGAGUGUGGACUCGCGGGCAGUGGAGAGCCACCCUGACUUUUCACUCUAUGCUUUUACACCCUCUGUGCUGAGUUCCGUGUGUGUGUGUUUCCUCUGUGCGCUUGCAUGUAUAUUCAAAACCAAACAUGCCAG
ensembl:lncRNA